UUUCACCCCAAACAUGUGGAUAUUAGGAUGUUCAGUCGCAGAAGCCACACAUGGGGCUUUAAAUGCAAGUCAAUUACAUCAAGAUUUCUGCUUUCCAUUCUUGAACUGUAUGUUUGAACAUCACAGAUGAGUGAAUACCAAAGUGCUGUUAUUUCAUGGCAGAUGUAAGAAGUGCCCAAGUGAAGAGAAAACAUCUGGAUAAAACAAGAAGGUUUCAUUCAAGCCCUUCCUGUGUGCUCUGCUUCUCUCUAAAGACACUAAAUCACCAUUACGAGCUGCAGAUGAGGCAAUUAUUUUAAAAACAGAAGCACG